AAGAGACAGAGAGAUGACAACGCGACCCACGCCGCCGACACAGUAUUUCGGACGGUAGACUGUCCACCGCCACCUCCGUCGACGACCCACAAGCCUCCCAUGCUUUCUCCACCAACGUUUUCCCACCCUUCGCCGAUUCGAGAUGAGGAGAUUUUUGGUUGAUAGAGAAAGUAUUGAGAAUGUGAAUGUUGAGCAAUCGGAAGCCGAAUUACAAUCACUACCUAAUAAUGUGAUUGAUGAGUUUAAUCUAUAUGAGAUAGUGCGUGUUCUAGGUCUUAAGAAACAAAUUAAUGAUUAUGCUCCGGAUAUUCAAGACCAAGUGAGGAGGGCAUAUAUAAUGAAGGGUCCAAUGCAACCAGAUUUGACAAGCUUUCCUCGUACUCCAUUUGGAAGUGCUAAAAGAGCAUUUAGUAAAUCAUGGUAUAAAAAUUAUGCAUGGUUAGAAUACAGUGAGAUCAAAGAUGUAGCUUAUUGUUUUUAUUGCUUUCUCUUUAAGAGACCCAGGAGGGCCGAGCACUUUGGUUUUGAAGUCUUCACUAAAAGUGGAUAUAAAGAUUGGAAGCAUGCAUCUCAAGGCUUAAAAGAUCACGUUGGUAGUCAUAAUAGUUUGCACAACUCAUGUGUCAAGCACUACGAUGAUUAUAAUAAUUAAAGACAAAGUAUGGCUAGUAAGUUUGCUAGAGCAACCAAGGAGUCAGAAGAAUUAUAUAAGAUUCGUUUGACUUGUUCUAUAGACUGUUCAAGAUAUCUAAUUGCACAAGGCAUGGCUUUCCUUGGCCAUGAUGAAUCCUCUAUUUCUCUAAAUAAGGGAAAUUUUAGAGAGAUGGUAGAUUGGGUAAAAUCUAAGGAUGAACAAGUAAGCAAUGCUUUUGACCGUGGUGGAAAAAAUUGCACAAUGAUUUCCAGUGACAUUGAAAAGGAGCUUGCAAUGUGUUGUGCACAUGAAGUUACCAAGGUGAUUAUGGAAGAGCUUGGCGGUGAUGUUGAGGUUUGUUAACGACAAAGGGCAUAUUGUGGAACGAUUUAUUUCUCUACAUCAUGUCAAAGAUACUACAUCUAAGGCAUUAAAGGAUGCUUUUUAUGGUAUUCUUGAUAAAUACACGUUAUCUAUUUCAAGGAUACGGGGGCAAGGAUAUGAUAUAGCUUCAAAUAUGAGAGAUGAAUUUAAUGGUUUGCAAAGAAAGAUUCUAGAUGAAAACCCUUAGAGUGUGUUUGGAUGAGGUAAUUAGAAAUUUUAAAGUAAUUUAAAAUUUAAAGUAAUUCAAAUGAUUCAAUUCAAAUCCAUUCAUUUUUAAAUUAUUUUGUUUGGAUGUAGUAUUAAGAUAAUUCAUUGUUAGAUUUUUGGUGUCAUUUUUUAUAAAAUUAAAUUUUUUUGGACCAAAUUAAAAAAUGAAAAAGUAGGGACUAAUUUGCAAUUUUUAAAAAUUUGAAGGACCAAAUUGUAAAUUUUAAAAAUUAUUAAGGACCAAUUUGCAAUUUUUUGAAAAUUUUUGGGGUCAAUUUUAUAAUUUUGAAAAAUAUGAGGACCAAUUUGUAAAGUUUGAAGAAAUAAUAAUAACAAAUACAUUCUAUGGAACAUGAGAGGAAUUUCAAAUUCUUUGGUUUUUGGUGUCAUUUCAAAAUGAUUAAAUUUAACUUAGAUGAAAUACUCCAUAAAUUUCCAUCAUUUUAACAAUUCUUCAUUUUUGUAUCCAAACAAUGGAUUUUUGUCAAAUCAUUUUAAAUUCCCUCAAAAAAUUACUUUCCCUCAUUAAAAUGCUCCAUCCAAACACACUCUUAUUCUUUCCAUAUCCAUUGCUAUGGUCACCGUUUGUAAUUGGUUGUUGUGUCUGUUGCUAGUAGUUGCUCAUCUAUUCAUGAUUUCUUUGAGUACAUAUCCUUGAUUGUGAACGUAACGAGUUCAUCUUGUAAGAGGAGAGAUGCUUUGACGGAUGCAUAACACCAAGAUAUUUUAAAUCAACUUGAGAGGGGUAAAAUAUCUAGAGGAAGGUGAUUGCACCAAUCAUCUAGUCUCACUAGACCCGAGGAUACUAGACGAGGUUCACAUCAUAUUAGAUUUAUUCGUUUGGAUCAAAUGUGGUCAUCUGUGUUAAAGAUACUUAGUAUGGUCGAUGGAGAUGGAUGUGUAGCAUCUCAAACAACAGGUUUGAUAGAAAAAAAUGGAGAGUUUUAAAAUUUCUUUUAUUUUGAAGUUAAUGUUAAAGUUGUUUGGUAUCACAAACGAGCUUUCAAAUGUAUUACAAAGAAAAGAUCUUAAUAUUGUGAAUGCCAUGGAAUUAGUUGAUAUUGUCAAA